AGUGAUUGUAAUAAUGGCUCCAAAAACACUUUUUUUGGUUGGAUUCAUCUGCAUUGUUCUUUCCUGCGUCACAGCCCAAUCUCCCACCUCUUCCCCUGCCCCUCCCACUCCAACUACUCCAACCCCCACCACCACCCCUGCUCCUCCCACUCCUCAAGCUUCACCUCCACCCGUUCAAUCUUCUCCUCCACCGCUUCAAUCCUCUCCUCCACCGCUUCAAUCUUCUCCUCCACCAGCCCAAUCACCACCACCGGUACAAUCACCACCACCAGUGAGCUCCCCCCCACCGGCACAAUCGCCACCACCAGUGAGCUCCCCACCACCGGUACAAUCACCACCACCAGUGAGCUCUCCACCACCCGCAACACCUCCACCAGCCCAAUCUCCACCUCCAGCAACUCCUCCUCCGGCUACACCACCACCAGCAGUCCCUCCACCAGCACUCACACCAACACCUCUGUCAUCUCCUCCAGCUACGUCUCCAGCUCCGGCGCCAGAGAAGGUGAAGAGUAAGGCACCAGCACUAGCACCAGGGCCUAUCUCUCCCGCAUCUGAAGCUCCCGGUCCUAACUUGGCCCCUGUCGCUCCUGCUGGUGAUGAUGUAAGUUCCCACUAUAGUAAUGUUAUCUAAAUUGUGGUUAUAGUAGUGCCUGAUAUUUUUAUAUAAUUAUAAAAAUAUUUUUGCCCAAAUAUGAUUUAAUUAUAUGAUGGUAUGACCUAGUCAUGUCACACUACACGAAUCAAUUCCGGUGUGGCGAUAUUACAUUAUUGCAUCCAGAUCAGAUGAUAUGAUCCAAAUUUAAAAUAGCUAGUUUAAAUAAUGUUGGAUUAAAAAUAUAUUUUAACCUUUCUGUAAAUAGUUAUAUGUUUAAGAUAGAUAUAGUUUUCAUUUGAAAUGUUAUUAGCUAAAACCUUAUGCGCGGUUUAAUGAAAAUGGCGUAAGAAAUAAUAUGGAAAUUAUUUCUAUUUUGGGAAAGUUAAUCAUGUGAAGAGAUUUCUCUGAACAUUUUAACUCUUUCAGACACCAAUGGAACUGAUUCUCAUUCACCUUAUUUCUUAUGAGCACCAUGCCAUAACUCAUGAAUGAUGCCUCGAGCGAACUCCUUUUAUGCCUAAAUUGCAGUUAUUCCAUCACCCAUUCUCAUAAUUCCCACAUUUUUUAUCUAUAUAUUUGUUUACGUAUUUUUGGUCUAACUUAAAGGAAAUUGUAUGGUAGCAUUGUUACUUCUUAGUAUGCCAUGUUAUGAAUUGCAAUUCUGAUUUUUGAUCUUUGUGAUGGAUGAGAUAGGCUUUGUAACCAUUGUUAUAGACAUGUUGGUGUUUAAAAAAUAAAACUUGUUUAACAACUGAGCUUCUGAAUUAUUAAUCUACACUGUAACAUUGCAGAGUGGGGUAGAUAAGUUGAUGGUUGGGAGCUUUGCAUUCGGAUGUGCCCUUCUGUCACUAAUCCUCUAGAGAUCGAUCUCUAAUCUCUUUCUUCUCUCUUUGGAUCUAAGAUUUUCCUUCUGAUUGCUGCUAUUUACCAUUUGCCACUACAUAUAUUAUUUUCUAGCUAUGAUAUCAGACUUUAUUAUUUGUAUUUGGUCUAUAUAAAUUCGCUUGUAUUCUUUGGGAGAUUUGAUGGGAGACUUUGUAUUUGACGGAACUUAUUUUGUAUGCCAGUAUUAUAUGUAUCCUUCUAUUUGAUUAUUUCUUCUUCCUUUUCAUUUUCUGCUUAAUCUUUUUAUUAUAGUAGUGCUGCUCACAGUCACGGAUCGCUAUGUUUCAUGAGUUUCGGUAAUAGGUUUGGUUUGGAAACUCAAUCAUUGAAGUUUCAUAAUGCAUUGUUAUCCUUAUUCAUUGCUCUUUCAGCAUUGUAAUGCAUGGCGAUUAUCUUUUUCUUUUCCCUUUUUGGGUGUAUUAGUAGCUACAUAACUUGCUCCAAUCAUCAAUAAACCCACCAGGCCACCACUAUUAACUGAAGUUUUUUGUUGAUAAUAUUGCUGUUAAUAUAAUCUUCACAGCAACGAGAGCCUUUUUAAAACAUUACAUAUGAAAUUUCAGAACACCAACUUUUCUGAUAAGUUUCAAGACUUAACUUUUCAAUAGUGAGGACAUCUGAACCAAUACAAAUAGGCACAAAACAACACAUGUUUGAUCACUUUUGAUUAACAAAAUGAAAGACUCAACAAGUACACCAAGUGCAAAUAAUGAGAAAAGAUUAUUGUAUUGAAAACAAGAAGUGAAAUGGUUACAGGUGAUGGAUUAAACAAUACCAUGACUGUUACAAUGAGGAAAUGAAAGUAAAUAGAAGAUACUAUUGAGAAAGAAGCAGAGAAUGUUUCCAAUAUUCAUCACGUAAUUAUUCAUCCUUCUAUUUCUCUUUUUUGUCCUUUUACUAAACCUCCCAAUUCUCUGAUCUUCUGCCAAGUGUCCUAUUGGAAUAACUAAUUCAUUUUCUCUCUCCGCCUAAAACUAUUUAUUGGUAAGCUUUUACUCCAAGUGUUACACAAACACAUUAAAAAAAAAAUCAUCUUUUUUAUCUGUCAUGUUCUCCCUCCCUGCAUAAGUAGCGUCAUUGAGAAUUUGAGAUGAAAUGAAAAGCAUGAAUUAAUCUCUUUCAAUGGCUUCAAUUUAUCUCCUCUGUGGCUAUGCAAUGGAAAAGCUUGAAUCGUACUUCUUAGCUCCCACACAGGUAUACAUGUUUGCCAAUGACAAUCAUAAAUAUCAGAGUAGGCAACCAAUUAUUCUCUAUCGCCUUAGUUUUUUGGAUUACAGAGUUUCAUAAGGACUGCACUCUAUAGUACUACAACCUUGGAAUGCAACUCCUCUAGGCGGUCAUGAAUUAACUGCGCACCGUGUUAAGACCAUGCCUGCGGUGUUACAAUUGCAACAACUAUAAUUAGUAGCAGUAUUCAGUAGACGGACCAAUAAUUCCCAGCAUCAGAACAAGGAUUCACAUAAAGGUUGAAUGAAUGAGCAAGAGUGAAAGGAGUCACAAGGUGGUGUGAUGGUGAAGAAUGGGGACUUAGGAAGGGAGUGGAGGAGGUUGUGAGUUUAAGUCUCACCGUCAACAAAAAAAAAAAUGAAAGUUAUAAGGUAGUUUGAUGUUUAGGAUAAACGAAGGGAUGGCAACAAGCGCAGGCGGGCGUGAGCAGUGCUUUAUCGUGCUCAAACCCACAAUAUUUAUGGGUACUCGUGCUGGUAGCGGGUAUUUGCAGUACCCGACAAAUUUUUAAUUUUAAUCAUAUAUUUAUAUAAUUUAUAAUAAAUAAUAUGUAAAAAUAAUUGUUACAUGAAUAUUAUGAUGUUUAUAUAAUAAAUUUAUGAUUAUUGUAUAAUAUGUGUAAUUUAUUAUGAAAUAAUAAUAAAGUAUAUUAUAUAUAAUCUUAAAAUAAUAAAUAAAUAUAUAUAAAAAUUUAACUAAAAACUAAAUAUAUAAAUUUGCGGGCUCAUAAGCUAUUAUUGCGGGUAGUCAUUGCAGAUAUUUUUACGGGUACUCUCGAUCGGGUUCUUUUAUCAUCCCUAAGAAUAUUGAUGGUAGAAUCUCACUCACAACAAAAUACUAACAACUAACAUAAUAACAAUUGGCUAUAAAAAAAAAGAAUGAGGAAGAGUAAAGAACGAUAUAAUACCAUAUAAAUAAUUUCUCACUAUUAAUUGCAUAGAAGAUAAUUAAACUGGAUGAAGCCCAACGUGAAGAGGAUCCGAAUUCAUGUUCAUCUGUCCAGAUUGGGCUUGGAUUUGAACAGAUUUGAUACUUGUUUCAGAUUUUGGACGGGCUAUUUUUUAAAGGGACUUUAGAAUUUAGAUUUAUCCAACAAAUGUUUGAACCUAUUUUAUUUUACUUUUCAAAAUCUAAAACCACAUAUUUUUUUAUAUUAGCAAGGGUUAUCCUUAUGACCAUUCUUUGGUUAAGAAACUAUUAUCUUUUAGAAUGACUAUUUCUUACAACAAGUCUUACUCCCGAUAAUUAAACCCUUAAAUCCAAAAUCACAUAUGAUAAUAAAUAGAAGAUUUCAUGUCAAACCAUUAUUUGAAUACAUUAAAUAUAAACAAAAUGGCCUUGUCAAACAUGCAAAUAAUACAAUCGAAUGCAAAAACUAUUAAAAAUAAUAAUUAAUGAUUUCAUUAUUUUGUGAAAACAAGCUAAUAUACUAGACUUAUAAAAAAUGGUUAGGGUAUUCACAUAGGUUAAUUAUUCAAUCGACUUCUCUUGGGUAAUAUUCAUAACUAUCAUUUGUUAUAUACAAAUGAAAGUAGAAAUCAUUUUUGUUUUUCGUUGGCAAAUAACUUUAUUAAGUUAAAAGGAUACUAAUGGCACAAAGAAUUACAAACGAAAAUUCAUUGACGAGACACCUAGGCAAUUCUAAUAACAAUAUGAAUAUGCAUCAAUUGCAGGUGUAUAAUAAAUUUGUAUGCAUCUCGUGCAGGGUAAGAAGGGGAAGCUUUCCAUUAGAAUAAAGUGAUAAUAAUACUUAGAGUUUCACAUUUCGUCAUUUGUCCCGAACAUGCAUCUCUUUGAUAUACUCACCAUGUCAACCAAAUAAAGAACAACUCCUAAAACCCUCCUAUUUUUCAGGAUUAUUAUGCUAUGUCUGUCAGAGAUACUAUGGUCACUAAAUCAAUGCAAUUGCCGUUGACCAGGGUAAUCUACAUUUAUGUUGUUGGCCUUCUAAAUUAUUGCUACUUUUUGACUGGGACCUAAUUAAAUUGAUAUGCUGUACAGUGUACUUUUCUUUAUUGUUUAUAGAUUUUGAACAAUUGGGCUCAAGUGCUCAAAAAAUCGUUUGAAGGAAGGGAAGACCUUUUGGGAUUUGCUAGGAAGGAUAUACCUAUAUAAUAUUAAAUUAGAAGUGAAUGAAAGUUUCAAAAUGAAAGAUAUUGAAAAGGAAAAUUUGACAUUCAGGAUUCUCGAACAUUAUUUCUAAAAAUAAACUGGCAAACAGACAUUAAACAUGUAAAUCAAACUUUUUCAUGUAAUGGAAUAUAAUCUACAAUUUGUUUUUGAAUUUUGCUGCUGUACCUAUAAAUAUUAAGUUUUGGAUCUUUAUGAAAAUCAAUAAAAAAAAAGUUCCUUUCAAAAACAUCACACAUCUUGCUAAACAAUUAAAGGUUCAUUUAGGUAAAAAAAAAUUAAAGAGGGAAACUUUUAAAAUAUGAGGUAGACUGUAAGAGCCUUUACAAUUUAUUUGCACAAUAAUCCUAAUUAUUCUGAUAAUAUAUGUAUUAGCAGGUGAACAUCAUGAAGCUCAGAACUCUGCCCUUAACCCAUGCUCCCAGUUCUGAGCAUUAUUGGAGAGCCCUAGCUAUCUGCAACAUUGCAACUUUAGUGCUAUUUUAAUGGUUUUCCUUUCACACCAGUCAGCACGUGUUAUUAUUUUUCUAUACUUUUCGUGGUAAUUUUUUACCCACGAAUGCUGAAUGAUUAUGGCAUAGGGAUAUUAAUGAAGAACUUGUGUGGAGGGGACAUGGGGUCCCAUUUCCAUAUAAAUUCAGACCUGUAUGUUUAAUACUUUAUUUUUGCAUCAAUAAUAUGUUGAUUUAGUGAUAUAAGGAAUUCUUAGAUUUCCAAAAAACUAAAAUAUCAACUUUUCUAUUUAUGAAUUAACAUUUGUUUGGAGGAAUAAAAUUAUACUUCGAAAAGGAUUAGUUAUUUAUUCAUCUUAUCCGGUGCCAAAAAAAUACUUCAUUUUUGCAAUGGUGAUGAGUAUCGAUUAUAAAUCAAGAAUCCCCCUCCUGAUAACUAGCAGAAUAGACGCACUUCAACUCCCUAGACAACUAAAUCUAACCUGGAACUCAAUUUCAAAUUAGCUAAAUAGAGUUUUCAAUUCUCAAUUUCUUACAUUAUCUAAUGUAAUGUUGUAAUAAUCAUGUGCAUGUAUAUAUCGCUAUCACUCGACGUAUCUAUCAGAAUUCUUUUGUUAGUUCACUAUGCUGUGGGAUUGCUCAUCAGAAUUCUUCUUCCAAAUUUACUGUUUUAGACUUUAAGCCCUCCCUAUGAAGGUCUACCUAGGUAAUAAAUGGUAGGGUUAUUAAAAUCGUACUGAUUAAACCAAUCAAAAUAUUGGUAUAGUUGUACAAUCGUUCAACUGGUGGUUCGGUAAUUAAUUUGUAUGUUAGUUAAAUCGGACAUACCUGCUUAUAUUUAUAUAUAUAAACAUAUAACAAAAAAAGUUCAAAUAGGUAGAUACUCAAAUUUAUAAUUCAUAUUCAUAAUCUACUCAAAUUCACAUAAGCAAACAACUUUAAGUCUUUAACAAAUUCAAAGUCUAAAUGAUAAAACAAAUAACAAUCCAAAAAUAUCACUUAACAAACGCAAAAUAUAAAUAAAUGACACAAGUUCAUAACUCAUAAUUCAAAACAAAUAAAUUUGGAGUUUUAACAUUUAACAUCAAUGAGUCAAAGUUGUGUCAUAUCAAGGUUCCAUAUUUGCAUCAAAUCCUACCUUCAAACUGUUUACUUCAAUAUUACACAAAUGUCACUGAGAUUACACAUUAAUGUUAGGGACCAAUAUGUGUAAUCUACGUAUGCCUUAGAAGCAUGUGCCUUGAAGUGUUGAAGAAGGGUUUGAAAGAUGAGUCACCGUGUAAUGAAUUUUUAAGUUUAAAAAAAAAAGAUGUGUAUAAAUCAGUCAGUUUAAUCAAAUUUCGGCCGGUUCACCAGUUUUGACCGAUUUUCAAUCGGUUUUAAUACUUGACCGGUUCAAUAUCUGUAUCAUACUAAUUAGGGAUCCGGUUUACCAAUUAAACUGAUCGGAACGAUACGGUUUUUAUAUCAGUAAUAAAAGCUAGGUGAUUAGUUAUAAGAUUUCUCAUUGUAGCAGGCUUCAACUAGUGAAAAUUGGGAAUUUUUACAACCAACUAACUAAUUUUAGGAUUUGAAUUCACACUAUGAAAAGACAUUAAAUAAUAUUAUCAUUGCGAUCUGGCUUACCCUCAAGUUAGUUAUAAGGACCAACAUCAUAAAAUUUGGUUCUCUUGUAUCCAUGGAUGACUUAAAUAAUACAAAUACUAAAAUGGUAAAAUAGAGAGAAAAAAAGAAAAGCCAUAUGACUCGACUCAAUCCCUUUCACCCUAUUCUCAAAUAUUAUUUUAUGAAGUGUUGUUAAAACCGUAUCGAUUAUUAAACUGGAUAAAAUAUGGAUAUAGUGGUACAGUGGUUUAACCAGUAGUUUAAUAAUUAAAUCGCAUGUCGGUUAAACCAGACAUACUUGCUUAUAUAUAAACCUAUUUUAAUUCCAAAUAGGUAGAUACUCAAAUUUAUAAUCCAUAUUUAUAAUCUACUCAAAAUUCACAUAAAUAAACAACUUUAAGUCUUUAACAAAUUCAAAGUUUAAAUUACAAAACAUAUAUCAAUCCAAAAGUAGCAGUUAACAACCACAAAAUAUAAAUAAAUGACAUAAGUUCACAACUCACUCUACAAAACAAAUAAAUUUGGAGUUUUAACAUUUAACAUCAAGUAGUCAAAGUUGUCUGAUAUCGGGAUUAUAUUUUUGCACCAAAUCCUAUCUUCAGACACUACUCCAAAAUUACGCAAAUGUCACUGAGGUUACACACGAAUGUUAGGACCAAAAUGUGUAAUCUAAGUAUGUCAUGGAAACAUGUGUCUUGAAGUGUUGAAGAAUGGUUGGAAAGAUGGGUCACCUUGUAAUGAGUUUUUAAGUUUUUCUGAAAAAAAUAUAUUUAUAAACCGACCGGUUUAGUCAAAUACCGGUUAAUUUUGAUCGGUUUUGAUACUUUGUCGGUUCAACAUAUGUACCAUACUGGUUAGAGGUUCGGUUUACCAGUUUUCCGGUCGAUUUUACCGUUACGGUAUGGUUUUCACAUCUUUAUUGUUUAUGAUAAUCUUAAACCUUAGUCUAUAAUAAGACAUCAUGGAUAAGUUUUUCAAUGUUUUUUAAGUUAUGUAGCCGAAAUACAAAGCUGAGUUCGUUAACAUUUUUUUCAGUCCAAAAAAAAUAGGAUCUCUCACUCAAAUCAAUAUCUAAGAUUCAUUGACUACUAUGUUAUACACACAUAUAAUUUCAGAGGUGGAACUAAAAAUUACCUUUCUAACUAUUAGAGACUAAAAUAAAAAUUAAUUGCAUUAAAUUAUUAGAGGCUAAAAUAAAAAUUUGUUAAAAAUUGUAAAGGCUAUUAGAGUAUUGGGGUGAAAAUAAAGCGUGUCAAACUAGCUCAACCCAAUUGCCAAAUUAAAUAUUCACUAUAGUUAAAUUUCAAGUCAAGUUUAAAGGGAACUAAUUAUAACUUAAAAUUGAUUUAAUUAAAGUUUACAAAGUUUUAAAUAUGUUAGUAAUGUCAAAUUUAUAUUGAUCAUUGACUCAAAUGAUCAUUUAUAUAUAUAAUAAAGUGAGUUUAUCUCCUGUAUUUAAUAAGUUAACUCUUUUGAUUAAUAAAAAAACAUCAAUCUAAUUAACAAAUAGAAUUUCAAAUAAAUUUGAAGUUGGUAAACUUAUUUCAUUUCAAUGGUUAUAUUUGUGUUCUCUUAACUGUAUAAUCAAUUAAUUUAGCAGCAUGGGUUGGUGAUGGCCAUAAAUGUGUACACAUUUGACUGUGUCCCCACUAAGAUGUGAGAAGUCCAAUGUAAAUUUGUGAAAAUAAAAAUAUAUUCUGAAAUUAGAUAAUAUCCAGAGGUAGAAUUCCAGAUUAACUCAUUACUUUACAAAUCACAAAUCAAUACCAUUGAAAUUUUGGCCAAAAAUCUUAUCAAUAAAUUAAUAGUAUAUUCGUUAAGACAUCAAGAUCCAAUUAGUCAUCACCAAGGAAGAUAAAAAAGAAUAUAAACAAAUAUUAAAAAACAAAAUCCUUAAUCUUUUUUACUAUCCUUCAGAAUCUUCCUAAAAUAAUAUAGUACAAGUGGAUAAAGAAGAGAAAGACAAUACCUGAAAAAGUAAAAGAAAAAAAUGAACAUAGAUCAAGUGGGGAAAACGAAAGGUGAGUGAGCAUUGAGCAAGAAAGUAAAGGGAAGGUGGUUAGUUACAUCACUUGUGUUGCUUUGGAAGCAUCAAACCUCGUGGUCAUUCCAUAAUCACGUUCCCACACACACUUACACUAGCCUUCCCUAGCUAGCAUCAGAAACCCAACUCAUUUUACUUUAUUUAUUCUCAUGUCCCUCUGGCUUCCAUUCACUACAUAAAUUUAAUAGAAUAAAGUAAUAUUCUCUGUUAACUACUAUUAUUUUCUUACCUAUGCAGCUAUGUUCAUUUGACCGAGACCAUGGAAAAAAGAGAGAAGCUUCCACACAUGCAAAUAAAUUAGUAAGUAUAAAUGCCCGUUGCAGAGUUUCACAAGAUGCACCAUCUAACGAGUUUUUUUGGGUAAUGGAAAAUGCAAAGAUUGGGAUUUGAAGCCAGGCUCUUCUUUCACAUGAUAGGCAUUCACACAAUCUAUUGCUACCAAUUACAAUAUUACUGAGAAAUUCAAUAACUAAAUAUAUAUUAAUAAAUUAAGAGGAAAUUCCAGUGAGAAGCUUGGCUUCCCAAGUUUCAUAUUUCGAUAAAAUAUCAGAUAAGAAUAAUUUCGGGGAAUAUAUAUGAGAGUGUAAUUAUAACACAAACUAGACUGUAUACAUUUGAUAACUUAAAUCUACCACGAGCAUUCAUUAUCUGACAGAAGUGAAAGGAAUAAUUGGACUGUAUACAUUUGAUUUUCAAGAGCACUGACAAUAUAGCAUCAUAAUUAUAACACAAAAUGAAAUCAUAAUACAAGAGAAAUGUUUGGUACAUCAAUUAAGAGCGAGUAUUUCUAUGUAAUACCCUAUUACAUUAUCUCUUGAGUAUCAAAAACACCCUUUUUAGUCUUUCACCUUUUCAAACACAAAUGAACUACUACACCAACAAAACUGUUAGUGUCAAACUUGCUGUGGUCAAUGGCAGACUCUUUAAUAUUGCUACCACCGACACAAAACUGAGAAGCUGUGAAGUAGGCAAAAAAGUUGGAUGGUCCUACUCUACUAUACCAAAGCUUCACCUUCCUCAUUUAUGGAAGGUAAACUAAAACCUUUAACCUCCAUUUGCUCUAUUCCGGCGUGGAAAACUGAGCUCCAACUCCAUAGUUGGUUUCUGCAUCGAGUAUAAAACAUUCACUCAGGCUUUUAUAACACCUGUGAAUUUUCAUGCUCUAUGUACAGAUUGCACAGAGGCAUAAACAAACUUCAACAAAGAACCAACUAAACCCCUAUUCUAACAUUAAAACGUUAGUAAUUAGAAACUAGUCACUGCUAUUAACAAUUGCCAUGAAUUGAUCCUACCCAUAUUGCUAUAUUUCCAUCUUCCACAUCAUGCUUUCAAUGCCGAGAUUAUGCGAUUUCUCUAGUGCAAUGACUUUGGCCCGAUGAACUGCAAGUGAAUUCUUUCCUCUUUCAUCCUGGGGAAGUUCGCAAGCUUCACUGACAGAAUCUGUUCUCAAAUCAGCUGGUGGAAUGAAGCAAUCCAGUGAAAGACCUGGAACAUUGAACGCAACCUCAUCGAUUGUCCAGGCUUCUUCCAUUUUUGUUUUGGUGUGGCUCAUAGCGGUCUCUCCAAAUCUGAAGAGAGUUACCACAGAAUGCCCUGAGUGUGCAAUCAUGAUCCCCUCCACAGGCCUAUAAUCAUGGAGAUAUGAGUUGAUUGUGGUUUCCCAAUAAACUGCAUCGCCGCCAUUAGAUUGGAUGCGGGUCAGAUGAGAAUCCUCGAUGUGAACUAGAAGUCCAGUCUUCUGGCUAAAGUAGCCAAGUAAGACAUGCCUUAUGAUCUCAGCAGGUCCUUCACUUCUGGCCUUCAAGGUCUGAGGGUCAGUACAGAGCUUAAGGAUGAAGCAAUCUUCGCCGUUAAUAUUCUUCUCUCCAGUGCAUUUGGCAUCAGCAAACAUACUGGCUGUGGUUCUCGGGUCUAGACCCUAAUUAAACAAAUACACACAUUUAGAAACUGCAAAGAAAAAGGUAGAACAACAAAAAUAAAAACAAACCGCACGUCAAAUAUGCAGUGUGAAAAUUGAAAAAGAAAGUCCAACCUGAAGUGCACGCCGCAAAGGCCUCACGGGCCCCUUUGCAGUAUGAGCACCAAGCCAAGGAGUGUGCCUCCAAACAAGUUUGCCAUUGCAUCCAGCAUGAACCUUGCUUCCCCCAACUGCAAGUUCCACAUACCACAUGUCAGGAUUCAUCUGCCAGAGCACAAAUCCGCCGGAUUCUGCACACUUAGAGGCACUCCGGUUCUUCACCACCCUAGUUGCAGUUUCAAAUUCAGAAGCCACCAUUCUCACCUUUCCCAUUGCAUAUGCAUUUUUAAUUGAGUUUUGCAACCUCAGCCCUGAAGCCGCAGUGUACUGCUGCAAUAUGUAUUGGGCAGAUGAAGUUUCCUGCAAUGAUACCCAUGAACAAUAAAUCAAAAAGUGAGUGGAGCCUUAGAUGUAAUUAAAUGAUCUUGAGAAAAUUAGAGUAAAUAUCCAUUAAAGUAGCCUUUUUGCACAACUGAACAACCUUUUUAAUUACAGAACAGACAACAAUUACAUUUUACAUGAAAGAGAAAUGAAUUUUAAUUAGAUCUGAAGCCAACAAUUUAAGAACAUUGGUAUGCAUAUUAUUGAGUUACCAGACUAAAAUUAUCCCAGAACAUAUAACCAGGUAAAUUUAUCUUAGAACGCAUCCUUGUUCUUAUUUUUUCCCUCAGCGGUCACUCUUUGAACAAAAAUUUGAAUUACACACAGCUGCAUGUUAUUCAUUUCUUCAUGGUUAAUCAUUUCACCCCAAUCACAAACCCACAACAGCAUAUAAAACUAAAAUUUUAAGCCUUUAACACAAACUUAAACCGAAAUCUUCAACAGAGUCAAAACACGACAAACUGCAUAAAAACACCAUAAAAACCAAACUAUCAAGGAUUCAAAGGAAAAAGAUACUAAUUUUCCGCCAUUUCAUAAAACGACACUGAAAACAAAAUUCAAAAACACAUGCACAAAAACUAAACACGGCAAACAUUAUCUUGAGUUAAAAAAUAGAAACUUGGAAAAUGGGCAAGGAUUAAGAACAGUGAUAAAAACUCACAAUAGGAGUAUCCUUGAUACUGAGAUGAGGCAAUGGGUCAGAGGCAGAGACAUGAAGAGGAGCGAGUGGAGCAGCCAUGACUCCAAGAAGAAGCCUCAGAUCAGACCUCUUAUACGACAAUGACGACACGGACGGUGCACGUGACAACUGUCCCUUCAUCCAUUGCCCCAAACCCGACCCACUUCUCUUCGGGUCCCCAUUUUCAGUUCCGUCCGGGUCGGGUCCUUCGAUCAAUGGACUCAGAGUUUCUCCUAUUGGAGUCAGGCCUCCGGAUCUCACAACUGCAGUGACUGUGUUAGUGUUUGAAUGUUUUUUCCUUCGUAGCAAACCGGACAUGGGUGAACCGGUUCGGGUUGGAGUACUGGACCGGGAGCGAGAUGGUGAGAGACCGCGAACCACUUCUUCUUUGAGAGCGGAGAAGAAACCUUGUUUCUUUUCUUUUUCCAUUUUGGGAGAAGAAUCAGAGGAACGAAAAGAGAAAAAGAGGGUGAAAGGGAAGAGGGUGAGUGCUAAUAAUAAAAAGAGGAAAAGGAAGAGAAUUUCAUGGAUGGAUAAUAAUAUGAAGAGAAGUAGAGAGAAAGAGUGUGAAAGAAAAGAAGAAAAGGUUUUGGAGAGUGAGUGAGUGAGGAAUGGGGUUUGUAGGCGCACGGUUUUCGAAGAUGGAAAAUCGGAAACAGAGGAAGAAAGUGAGGAAAGUGUGUAUGUGCUGCUGCGAUAACAAUACUUCGCUGCUGUUUCAUUGGAACACUGAAGGGGGUGUGAGAAUAUAUUAUACUAGUAUUGUAGGGGUCAGGCUCGUCUGGGAUGUACAAUUUUUUCUUUAGUUUAGUUUGAAGGACAAAUUUAUCUUAUCAUGAUAAAUAAAUAUAAAAGUAUAAAUAUAAAAAUAUAUUAUAUUUUCUUUAGUUGUUAGUAUCAUUUACCUCUUCAUUACUUGAGAGGAGUAUCAUAGGACUACAAUGUUUUAGUGACACUAUCUAGUGUUACAUUUUAUUGUUGUAUAGUAUUACUCUUAACCUAAUUUUGUUCUUACUUUUGUAGUAUAUAAGAUGUUUUAUUUUUAUUUUUAUCUAUUUGUGUUUAAUGUAAUUAAUUAAAUUAUUUAUUAUUUUAAAUAAAAUAUUAAAAUGGGAAUAGUAUCAUUAAGUAGACCCACAAAGCUUAAUAAAGUUUCAGGUAUACUUGAAUUUCAUAAAUAUAAUUAUAUCUAGAGUUUUAUUCUUACAAUUUCACUACUGAGCACUAACGAGUAUUGAUUCAAGUGGUAAAUGUUUGAUUUUUCUUAAGUAAUGUUUUGGGUUCGAGUCUUGUCGAUGAAAAAAAUAUAUGCUGAGGGAGUUAGCCCCACAUACUUGUGGAUAUUUCCAGUUCGAAGAAGAUUGCCUCUAGUGCGAAAAUACACGUGGGAAACCAAAAAAAUCUCACUAAUGAGUUUUAUAGACAAACUCUUUAAUCCCAAUAAAUAUAUAUAUAUAUAUAUAUAUUAAUUAUUAAUUAUUAAUUUUUUAAUUUAAAUAUUCUUUUAAUUAAUCACAAAGUGAUAUAUUUUUUGAGAUUUCAAAUGUCUUUCCAAAAUUGUUGUGAGAUAGUUAUUUAUCUUUCUAUUUUUAGAAUAUGAAAUAUUAUAGGUGAUCAUUUAAAUUGUAAGUCAUCAAAAUUUUGGAAAGCUUUAGUUUGUUAGAAUAAGUAAUAAAGAUAUAUCAUAAUACCUGAAUAAUAUCUCAUCAUACAUGUAUAUUUAUAUUUUCUAACUUAAUUAUGAUUUACCAUACCAUUAUGUAUAAUUAUAAGCAUAAUUUCUAUAAUAAUGUUAAACAUAGAUGAUAAAUGACUUGAGAGAAAAAUAUCUAAAUCAUUGAUGGAAGGAGGAGUGGCUACUCACCCCAGAUUAUUUAUCUUCUUUAUGAUUUAUAUUGUAUAUCCUUUUUAUAUGUACUUGGUAAUGAUGAGUGUAUUUAACUGUGUGCAUAUUUUUUUCUCAAUUUUAAAAGAUGGAAGUGUAUUGUUGUAUAUGUCUUCUUAUCUAUUCAGGGCACUCCAUACCUAAAUUAUGGCUUCUCCAAUACCCUCAAUUCACACGACAAUGUUCAUACUCGAAUUAUCCGUUGUCGUUUGAUACCAACUUUUUGAUGACAUACUAAGAAAUACAUUAAUAUAAUACUAUCAUCCUGCAACUGGUUAUACUUAAUUGUGAUAUCUUAAGUUUAUAUCCUCGUAAAAAUUUAUCCUAUGCAUACCUAAAGAACAUAGAAAAAUAGUUUUGAAACUUUUUUUUUCCCAUCUUUAUAGUGAUGUUACCUUGAACAUAUAUAAGAUGUUCAUGAUGGGAUUCUGCUGUAUAUCUACUGGUAUCUCAUGUGGUUCCUGAUGAGAUGCACUUUUGGAUUUUAAUUGCUCAUUAGCAUCUACUCUCAAUAACAGGACAGCUUAGUUUGAUUAAAACUAAUAAUUACGAUCCCGAAAUGAGAAUGUUGCUCCAUCCUCCGAAAACAAAGAAGAAUAUAAACUCGCAUUUAACUAAUUAAUAUGUCCCAAGUGCCCAACUGACCCCAAUUAAACUAAUAUGUCCCAAGUGCCCAACUGACCCAAUUAAUAAAGAUCUAAUAUAUGUCCUAAACGUAUUUUAGAUUAUAACUUAUAAGCGUAUUAUCUAUUAUUUUUAUAUUAAUUAAUUUGACUCUUAAAUAAAAAUAGUAUAAUUGAAUAAUCAAUGACUUUGUCCAUUUAAAAAACUUCACUCUAAUAAUACAUAAUAUUAAAUUAAUUAAUUAAUACUCCAAGCCCCUAUAUAUUAUUCUAUGCCUCUGGCGAUUCAAUGAUCAUCAAACUCGGUCACAUAUCAUAAUAAAGAGGUGGGUCUCUACAAAAUUAAUGUUUUCUUAAUUUAAUAUUCUUUAGAGUUUUAUAUAUUAUUAUUGUAUUAUUUGCAAUUCAUAUUUAAUAAUCAUUGACUCUUAAAAAAUGUAUAAAUAUUUACACUUUUAUACUUAGAUAUUAUACAUUUUUUUAUAUAGAUCAACCUUAAGUAAACUUAAAUUUGAUGUAUGGUAUGUACAAUUUUUUUUAGGUAGAAUAUCAUAUGUACAAUUUGAAAUGAUGCAUAUAUGUUAAAUAUGAUGAUAUACAGAUAAGGGAACUUUAUUAUAAUUUCAACGUAAUGAAAGGGGAUGAUUACUAAUUAGUGGAUCAAUCUUAGUUUUCUGUAUGAAGUUGACAAAAUUGUUGUUCCUUAUCGACAAAGGUAUUCUCUUCCCAUCCACCUUUCCCUUCGUGUAAUCAUCUUGUGUGUAUGUAUAGUUUCUGUAGGACUGAAUGCGUUUUUUCCCUAUUUAUGGUGCCAUUGAUUUUAGUUUCCUAUAUUAUUUACUUAACUAUUUAGUCCUCGAUUUGAGUUAAUAUUGAUUUCCAUUCUCUUGGUCAACUUUCUAUAUAAAAAAAUACCACCACUAAAUGACGAACUACUUUAGAAUGAAUCGCGCUUCAAGAAUACGAAGACAUAUGGUGUGCUUAUUUUAAUCAUGUUAUUUUACAAGUUCUGUUUAUAUCUUUUAAUGUUCAAAGUUUUCAUGUUAUUUUAAAAUGUUUGAUAUUUUAGAAACUCGACAAAAAUUUAUACAUUAUUUUUCAACUAUAUCAUUGUGUAUUAAAUCAUUUUUUCAUCCAUGAUCUCUUUGUUUCAUUCUAAUUCAGUUUUGAAUGUGAAUUAAAGGAUGUUAUUUUAGUCAAAUUAUAUUGAAAUCCAACAUUAUUUAAUAAUUUUUCAAGUCAUGUACAUAAUCAUAAAUGCCAAAUAUAUGAAAUGGAGAAUUGGAGAUGGUAUUUUUUAUCUACUCCAAUUUAAAAUGGAGCAGCUAAAUACUUACACAAAAUUUGAAAACAAAAUAGUGAGACACAUCAAAAUAAACACCAUAACAUAUUUAAAUCUUUAAUGUAUUAGUGGGAUAUCAAAAAGUAAGAGAUUGAGGUAACAUAUAUUUUGUGCAUGCCCCCCUUCAAUUGUAUUUAAUGUUGCACCUGCUGCAAUAGUUUUCACUUUUAUCACAAACUUGAACCCUAAUUUGUCACUAUCAAAUAGAAAGUUAAUUAACCACAAGUGAUCCACCUUGGACAUAUGAUUAUUAAUUAUAGUUUGAUGUCUGUACACAAUUUGAUUAACUUGUUGUACUCUUUUCAAAGAUUUCUUUAACUGCUGACUUAAAAGAUAAUUUACCACAGUAUCUCAUGGCUUUGUUAACUAAUUAAGGGAUUAUUCCUAAUAGUUUUGUGACAAUAACAUCAUAUAUAGGUUUGAGACCUGAUUAUACACAGUCGCUGGGGGACAGUUAGGCUUGUACCAACCAUUGUGGGCUAUUAAUUGACUUCCGAUAACUAAACUGAGACUUUGGUGUACUGCAAUGUAUACAUAUUUAAUUUCAUUUAUACUCUGAGACUUUGCUAUUAAUUGACUAUCGAUAACUAAACUGAGACUUUGGUUAACAUAUACAUAUUUAAUUUUAUUUAUACACUAUAUCGUAAGUUAGUAAAUAGUACUAUCAAAUUAUUAAACACGAUGUGACUUGUUCUAUGUGAUUUUUAGCUUGAAGCUUGAAUUAUGAAAACUAAAGGAAACAAAUCAGAUUGUCUGAUUAAAAAAAAUAGAUUAAAUCGGACUAGACUUUUUUUUUGUAAUCAACUAAAACUUUUUAUAAAACUUAUUUACACUUUAGGCAAACUAAAAAAUAUAUUAACUUUAACCGACCCAUCUAAUAUAUUAUUCCAAUAAUAUUUAUAUCAUUUUAUUUUGAUAUAGCUAAUUAGUGUUAGAUCGACCUAUUAAAAACAUGUAUGCUAACUUUUAUUAAAAAAGGUAUACUUAAUACCUUAUAUAAUAAGAGUCUUUAAAUAGAUUAAUAUGACAUAGUUGAAAUUUAAACAAAAAAUAAAUUUGAAUUUUUUAAAUGAAUAAACAUGUAAUAAAUGUGAAUUUUUUAAAUGAAUAAACAUGUCAUAUCCAACUGGUUUAUAGGUUUGAUUUGUUUAUAAGUAAAAUUUGAUAUGAUAUAUUUACACUGUUAUUUAUACGUAACAACUAUUAAUAUUUGUACAUUCUUAUUGUAAAAAUUUAUAUAUACUUAAUAUAUCAUCAUAAUUACUUUGAAUUAUUUUUUGUUGAAAAAUAAAUAAUGAUUAAAUAUGAAUGGUAGAUAAUACAAUAGCAAUAUAUAAAACUCAUAUCAUAAUUAUAUUAGUUAAAUUGAAUAGUAAAUAUAAUGGGUAUAGGCUAAUGUCAAAGCUGUCAAAGUUUAAUUUUUUUUCUCUUGGCAUCUAGUGAUGGAGGUUUUACAUUAGUAUGGAUUCCAAAGUAAAUGUUAUAAAAGGACUUCCACAAGCUGGUAGUCACUCAUUAUACUCUUAAUUUUCCCCUUUUCCCUUUUAAAGUAACAUUGCAGCUAAGUUCUAAGUUCCUAAAAUAUUCUUUCCCAUUUGUUGCUACUAUGUUUCUCGUUUUGACUAGAACAGCAAAAAAACAUCCAUGUCAUACUUAAAUUAUGCUUUCUGAAUCAGUGUUGUGUAAUAAUUUAUGCAUAUAAGUUGAUACGUUAUAGUUUUUUUUUCUCCUUCUCAUUGGGUCCCUAUAGCAUAUGCUACUUUAUAUGGUCUAGCCAGCAACCUUCCCUCUUACGCGCCACAGCACAUGCAGCACAGAUUUUGGGCUCCAAAAGAAAAAUAUCAUGACACAGAGAUAUCAAAGAACGUAGUUAAUUGAUAUUGACUCAUGAGGAUGUGUGUGGGUAGUGGUGGGUUCAGAUUUACAGAUGAAAUCAGAUGUUUACAUUUAUGUCUCGUUUUAUAUCCUCACUCAAUUAGAAAACAUAAUUUCAUUAAAAAUAAAAAUCAUAAGAUUAUAAAUUAAUAUUUUUUAUAUUAUUUUGUGAAGUCUGGUUGGCAAAGAAGAUAAUUUGUUAAGAGAUAGGAUCUUAGUUUCAGCUUUACAACUAAUCUUAGUAGAAGAAAAAAAGGAGUAUGAAGAAGGACUUAAUUUAAAAAGUGGAUGGUGCCAUGGUGGUCAACUUUUUUUUAUUUUUUCUUUCCACUUCCAACUUGAGUAGCUGUCAAGCCUGAUAUGACGAAAGUAGUGGGUCCAUACAAGGUUGGGUUAUUGAGUGACAUAAUUGGUAUUCAAAUUUGAGAGUUUUAAUAAUGGUUAGGGAAAUUAAAGGGUGGUAUCUUGAUAUGAGUGUGAUAUUUAAAUUUGGUAUAGAGUUUAUUUAAUUCUUAGUUCACAAGACCUACAAAGAGAAAAAACCACCAACAUAUGCUGCAGCAUAUCAUAGUUUCUUCCUCUCAUAUUGAAUCUCUCAUUGAAAUAGUAUCACUAUUCCAAAAACAUAUUUUGUCCAAAGAUGUGUAUAUAUAACAUUUCAUUCAAAUUGGUAAAAAAUAUAAAAUUAAUAUAUUUAAUUUUUGUUUUAUUUUUAUAAUUGUUCCUUCCCGAUAACAAAUGAGAAGCAUCGGGUACAUCAAAUGAUACAAACUUUGAAAAAUAAGAUGUGAUUCCAUUGUAAACUUGCUAAUGAUUGAAUUGAACUUAAAAUCAUGAACAUAUGACUCUAAGUGGGUAAGUUCUCAAGGUAGUUUAACCUCUAAUAAUUCUACCAAAUCAAUUAUCACUUCUUUUCCGAAUACUACCUUAAAAAUUGAUUGUUUUUAAUAAGUUUGACUGAUAAAUUCCAUUGCAAUUGUUCAUGUUUCAUCUUCACUAGAAUGACUAAUGAAAGAAUCAUUUAUAUUAACCCAAACCCAUAAACUGACAAGAAAAACGCAAACAAUAUUUUUUUAUCAAUUAUAAACUGGGCUUAAUUUCAUUCGAAUAUUGGGCUUUAUUUUAACUAACGAUUACCAGUGCUACACUACAAUCAUGGGCUUGGAUUAAUUCCAAGCAAGGCCCAAAAUCCAUAACAACCAAGUGAGGAAAAAGAGAAGAAAAAAUUAAUCAAACAAUCAAUGGGAUGGGGAAGAAAAGCUGAAAAACCAACAAAAGAAACAGUGUGAAUCUGAAUCCGCACUUUGUACUUUGCAUUGUGAAAUUUUGUUAUCCUUUUGGUUUCUGAUCGGAUAGUUUCUCCAUUCACUUUGUGAUCUCCAUGUCCAUCACCAUUCAAACCUUGGAAGACAGGUACACUUCAUCAACUCAAAAUCCGCUGUUUAUGUUUCUUCCACCUCGUUCUGUGUUUUUUCACGACCAAAUUGUAUUUGAUAAGAUACUUCAUUUAUAUUUUAUUCCCGUGUAUGUUUUAUUUAUUGUUAAUUUUUUAUUGCUUUUGAUUAUAUAAAACCUAUGUAUUGCUUAGAUUCGGUCUUCCAUCUUGAUUUCUAUGGAGUUGAACUAAUAAUCAGAACCAAGUUUUGUUUUGAAGAUGCUCCCAUUUUUUUUUGCAUAAGGAUACUGAAUUUUCAUCUUGCCGAGGUUCUGCAUGCAUAAUUUUGUUAUCCUUUCCAUCGUUAUUGAACAGUACCUGAAUUUAGUGCUACUCCCUUUUAUUGUAAACUGUUGAUUAAGGAUUUUUGGGUAGUAAAGAAAUAUAUAACAGUAGGAAACAAACGAGUUUAUGCAAAGGCUGUUGAUUAAAUUUAAAUUCAUUGGUAAUAGUUCAAUAUAUAGAUCCUAUAGUUGGUAAUUAUUUAACGGUUUGUUGUUUCUCUGUAUUCAUAGCUCCGUCCUGAUUAUAUAAUAUCGGUUUUGGUUCUAGGUAUAUUGCUUCUUGCAGGAGACAUGGUGUUUUGCCUAAUACUACUAUUUUGGCAAGCUUUUUCAAGGUCUGUUGUUUAUUCCAUCUCAAAUUUUGCUGCUCAAGCACUGCAAACCUUUCAAUAUCUCUGUUAUAUUUGGAUAUACAGAGAUUUACUCUUUUGUCCUGGUAAAUGCAGUAUACAUGGACAAGAGACUUACUUACACCAAACUUUGGUCUUAACCAAUUUUUUGUUGUAUUAUGCAGCAUUCACUUUUUUCCUUUCCUUUUACUCCAUUUGUUCAUGCAGUUACUUUCCUCGCACAGAGGGCAGUGGUUUUAUUCCAUUUUAUACUUUACCCUUUUCACGAGUGUAAGAAGAUAAACCUGACCAUGACCAUGCAGGCUGAGAUCAAAAAGUCCUGCAAAGAGCUGUCUAGUCUGGAGAUUUUUAUUGAUGACCUUAAGGAUAUUGAUUGUGCUCCACUUCUUGACGUAUGCAUGAACCUCGAUACUUCGGAAAUUGAAGCUGUUGACGUUCGCAAUGAAACAGCAUGUGCGUUGAACGGAGAAUAUGCAUUGUCAUUGAUGCGUGCUAUUAACCAAAAGCUUCGAGUAGUUGAUCUACAGGAUCUGUCUUUUGGAAAAGACUUCUUACGGUAUAUUAUGGUGCUUGUUAUGGAUUAUCUUUGUAUAAAUGACAUAAUUUCUACUAGUAUAGUCACUUUUAUUCAGACCUACAAUGUUAAGAUGGUAAUAUAUAAUUUCUAGCUUUGGUUUAGUUGUUUCAAGACUACAUAUGUGUGGCUCAUCAUCAUGGGGAGAUCUUACCUUCACUGAUUCACUUUCUGGCAUUAGAUUUUUCUUGCAUACGUUGUUUUUUGUGACUCAUACCGGGUUCUAUUAUUAGGGAUAUCUCACAAAGUGGUUUAGCUUGCCAAGUUUUGAUAUUGAGGUCUUCACAUUUCCGGAAGCUGAAUUUGACUGGGAAGUUCAUGCAGAUGCACACCCUUGAUCUUGAUUUUAGUUCAUCUCUUACCAGUUUCCAAGAGGACUGCUUUAAUUGCAUGCCCAAUCUAAUGCGCCUCUCAAUGUGCGAGACACGGAUUACAAAUCUUUGGACAACUGUUGCAGCUCUCUCUAAGCUCCCUUCUUUGGUUGAACUAAGGUUUCAAUAUUGGCAAUGCUGCAAUGAUGCUGGGACAUCUUUUAUCUCACCCAGUAGGAAGUCAGAUAGCAGUGUUGAUCUUGGCCUGCUUAAUAGAGUUCCUUUUACUGGUGAAUCUUUCACUGAUUCAAGGGUACUGACAGAUCCUAACUUCAGUGCAGAAGAUCCAUUGAUAAAUUUGUAUUCCUUUAAUGAAGAAGUUAUAAAUCAUGAUGUUCAAAGCAUGGAUGAGGAUUCAUCAGAUGAUAGUGAAGUUGACUUCACUAGUCAUCAUCAUAGAUUCUGGCUGUCAGAUGUGUUUCCUGGGUGGAAUUUUGAAGUGCCUAUUCAGAACAAGGUAGUCAACUUGGCCCUGUUUGCCUAACUGCAUCUUUUCCUAAUGAAUUCUCUCGUCUCAUGGCAUUCUUAAUAGUAGAAAAAUAUCGGUUUGAGAGAAGAAAGUGAAAAGAGAGAAAUGGAUGAGAAAGAUAGUGUGAAGAAAGAAAGAGGUGAGAAAGAUAGUGUGAAGAAAGAAAGAGGUGAGAAAUAUAGUGACUUUUUCUAUUGUUUGGUACAAGAGAAAGAGGAAAGAAAAAGAAGAGAAAUAAGCGUUUUCUUCUCUCUUUCAUUUGUUUUGUAGAGUAGAAAAGGAGAAGCGAGAAAUGAUUUAACUUUUUGAUGUCAAAAAUAUCAUUGAAACAGAUAUAAGAUAAAAAAUGUUGAUUUUUGUAAAUUAGUAAAAACAAUAUCAUUUAAAUAUUAUUUCUUUCUCAUAAGUGGAGAGUAAGAUAUUUUGUGGGACCAGUAACUUUUAUAUUCUCUCCCUUCUUUCUCUCUUCUCAACCAAACAUGAAAAAAUUCCCAUAUUUCUCUUUAACUUCUCUCUCCCUCUUUUCUGUCUUUGAGAACUCUACCUUAAAGGAUAAAAUAAAUCUUAUAUCCUUUUAACUAUUGUUAUAUUGUAUACAGUGGUGCUUAGUUGUGGUAAGGAUAAUAGCUUGAAUACUGAAAUAUUCAUAUUAAUGGUGAGUAUCAUGCUUUUGUAUUUUGGCUAUUUCCACUUUGUUUUGAUGGUCAUAUUGCAUUUUCAGUGUUUAGUGAAUUACUCCAUGACUUAGAUUUAAUAUGCAUGCUUUAAGGAAAAGGUAGGUGAAAUGCUUAAUGUUAAAUUCCAUAAACGUGAAUCAUGUUAUCAAAUUAUAUAUUAUAUAAUGCCGUAUGUCAUACUAUUCAAGCUGUAACUUCGAAAUCAUUUUUUACCUUGAAUUUUGGCUGUUCACAUUACAGAAUGAAGAUGGAGAAGAUUCAUCUCAAGACGCCUUUACAGCGCAUACCACUGAUGUUUCUAUGAAGUAUAUGUCUUGUCAUGCAUCACCAAUAUGCUAUGAGAAACAUUACAGAGAGUUCAUGAUAGCUUCAUUAUCAAAUCUGAAAGUUUUAGAUAAUUUGACGAUCAGAAAUAGUGACAGGGAAAGGGCUUCUGGAAUAUAUUCUCAAUACUUUCAAUAUCUUCCAUAUGGAUGGAAGCAAAAAGAGAGCGUGGUAAAUAUCCUACGUAAGCGAGAAAUAAAAUCAGGCCACAUUAAGGUGCGAACUUCCAAGUGUAGACCGUUGAAUCCUUCUGGAGAGUCCAAAUACUUUUAUACCAGGUCUCUAUCUGCUGCUAAAAUGGGGUCUUCAACUUGGCCUUUCUUGCACCCCCUUUCUCUAUCAGGAUGUGAAUUAGAUAGGGGCUUUCGUCCAAGGCAGUUUGAGUACCAUCCAUCCGACUCUAGCUUGAUGGUCCUUGGAACUCUAGAUGGUGAAGUAAUUGUUAUCAACCAUGAGAAUGAACAUAUUGUGAGUUAUAUCCCAUCACUUGGAGCAAUGAAUAGUGUCUUGGGUCUCUGUUGGCUCAAAAAAUAUCCCUCCAAGGUAUGUACAUAUUUCACGAAAAUGAUUCUGUAUAGAUUCUAUUCAUAAUGUUUAUUGUUUUAGUUGAUGAAUGAAUACUAGCAGCUACAUAUAUAUUUAUUGGCAAUUAUUGAAAUCUUCAUCCUAGUGCUCUACAUCAACUAACAUAAUCCAUUCCUUGUCAUACAUAAGUAGCAUUUGGUAGACAUGUUAGAACAGGAUGGAACAAAGCAUGUAAGGUGUAUUCUAUGUUUGGUUUAUUUAAUAAAAGAAUAGAUCAUGAAAUAAGAUUAUAAAGUUACAACAUUUUUGUUCCAUUGAAAGGGGCGUGGAACCAAAGAGAACAGAAUAGAACAUCAUUUUCCAUCUUUGUUAAGGCUUAAGUGGUUUUAAUUCAGACUGAGAGAGAUGACCUUGUGUGGUUUUCUGGAAGUAGCAAUAAUUCAGUAUCAGAAUUGCAGUCUAGAUUUUUUUAGAUAAGAAAGGCAUUGAUUCAGUGAAGCAUUCAAUUCUCUAUAGUUAGUAUUAGAGCAUUUGCUUCUCCAGUGUUUUUGCUUGAACAAUUCUGAUGCUAUUCUUUCUUGUUGUUGCAUGUCAGCUUAUAGCAGGUUCAGACAAUGGUUCCCUGAAAUUGUACGACAUCCACCAUAUGCCAAGAAAAAAUACUGGCACACAUUGGAAUUCUGGUUGUGUUACCUUCGAUGAGUUUGACCAGUUGACAUCUGUUCAUGUUAACUCUACGGAUGAAUUAUUUCUUGCAAGUGGUUACUCAAGAAAUGUUGCUUUGUAUGACAUCAACAAUGGGAAGCGGUUACAAGUGUUCACAGAUAUGCAUUCUGGGCAUAUUAAUGUAGUCAAAUUUGCAAAUCAUUCCCCGUCAAUUUUUGCCACUUCUUCAUUUGAUCAGGAUGUCAAGAUGUGGGACUUGAGACAGAAACCAAUAUAUCCUUGCUUCACUACUUCAAGUUCAAAAGGAAAUGUGAUGGUUUGCUUUUCUCCAGAUGACCGAUAUAUUCUAGCAUCAGCAGUUGAUAAUGAGGUAAUUUUUACUUAAUAGUGUGUUAGUUAUUGGUUACUAUGCAGAGUGCAAUAACCGGGAUAGGCUGUGCACCCCUUUUGGAAUCUGGUUCAGCUUUAAAGCAAGUAACAAUCACCAUCAGAUUUUUGUUAUCUAUGUACAUUUAUUUCAUUUUAUUGCUAAUAUGCUAGUCUUUCUCUUUGGUUAGAAAUUUGUGUUAACAUUACAAUGCUGGUAUCCAAACUAACAUGUAUAAUCUGACAGGUUAGACAGAUUUCAGCUGCUGAUGGUAGGCUUCACUUGGUUUUUGAUAUAGCUCCCACUGGAAGUUCUCAGAACUACACCCGUUCUUAUUACAUGAAUGGGAGGGACUACAUUAUUAGUGGGAGUUGUGAUGAACAUGUUGUUCGUAUUUGCUGUGCUCAAACUGGAAGACGCCUAAGAGAUGUAUCCCUUGAGGUAUGUCAAUCAUCUAAUUGAUGCACUUCCAGAAUUGCUUAUUCUAUUCCUUCUUAAGAAUAUGAAGGGACUAUAUAACUAUAUGAUAGGACUGCGCCAUUUAUUUAUGAACCUAAUCUGCACAUUCAAACCUUACUUGUAUGUUCGUAGUCCCUCACAUUUUUCCAUUGUGCUUAGAGAGGAGCACGAGUGGCUGAUAUCUGGCCAUUGUGCUUUCAUUUCAUUGAAUUAUUUUUCCAUUGUAUUGAGAUUGCUUGUCAACUUCAAUGCAGGGAAAAAGCUUAGGAAGUUCCAUGUUUGUUCAAUCUCUGAGGGGUGAUCCUUUCCGGGUAAUCCUUAUUUUUAUUGUACACCUUAUUUUUCUCUCUCCAUUUUUUCUUUGCAAGAGGUUGAGUCUCGGCAUAACAGUAAGGUUGUUGCUUAGUGACUAAGGUCACGAGUUCGAAUCUUGAAAAUAGCCUCUUUGCUUGGGGGUAAGGCUGCGUACUUUUACUCUCCUUAGAUCCCACUAGGUGGGAGCUUCGUGCAAUGGGCUGCCCUUUUAUUUUUAUUUUCUUUGCAUUUACCUUUUAAUUUCUGCCUACUCAGGUGGGCUGUUUCUGCUGUCUUGGCUUUGCUAUAUUCUCACAUAGCAUUUAUGUGAUAUGUCAAAUGUCUUACACUUUUUUGUACCUUUUUUUGUGUAUUUUUGUCUUCAUAACUGGAGAUACCUGACACUUGCUGAUUGUUAUGGUUAUGCCAAAGUGACUUUGACAUGCUUGAUUUCAUAGCACAAAUCACCCAUAUAUGUGACCCUUUUUCUCGUCUCUCUUUUGUAUAACCAUUUAUAACGUGGCAUGAAAAAUGAAUUUGCUGCCGAUUGGUAUAUGCAUGUAAACUACUGUUGAACUGGACAUAAUUUAAAGUAAUUGUGUGGACGAGAUACUUACACAUUGUGAAUGUUUUGCUGAAAAGCAGGAAAUAGUUAUUUAUACUUUUAUCCUUAUUAAGAAACUCAUUCAUUCCCUUAAAAUAAAAAGAAACUUAUUUGUUCAAAAUCGUGAAUUUAUAUUCUCUUUCCCUUGUUAUUAUGAUUUGGAUAUUGUAAAAUGGUGUUUUUUAAUAUGAAUUUCAAAUGAUGUAUGCAGGAUUUCAAUAUGAGCGUAUUAGCAGCCUACAUGCGUCCUGGCUCCAAGUCUGAAAUUGUUAAGGUACCUUGUUUUCUUCAUUGCAUUCUUCUAAAGCACCACAAUCUCAAUGAUACUCCAGUGUUUCUGAUUUUAUGCUGUAUAUUUAAGGUCCCUGUUAACAAAUAUCUUAAGGACAUUGUUCAAAAAUUUAAUAAAUAGAAAUUUUUUGUAAGAAAAUAUAUUUUGUUAGAAUACCAUUCUGCUGUCGUUAAAUUAAAAUGCAUAUGAUUUACAAAUAUAAUUGAGAUAUUUUAGCACUUGAUCUGUGGAGAUUUCGUCCCUCAUUUUCUUUCAAAAUUAUAAUGUAAAAUGUUUUCCUUAUUCAUUUGUGGCUCACUUCCAUUCCAUCCUCCAAGGAAACAUAUUCAAUUAUAGCUUUCCAAAUUCCUCAAAUUCGGACCUUUUUUGUGUUCAUACUUUGCAGAUUAACUUACUAGCAUCUAGUGGCUAUGCCAAUGAUGAUCCUGAUGAGGAGUGCCACUGCCCAUCCCACAGUGUGGGAGCUUGAUAUAAGAUUAUAUGUGUACCAUACAGCAUGUAUAGGUUAAUUUCAAUUGCUGUUUUGGAGAGUUAUAAUUAUAAUUUUUGUAUUAAAAAGCUGUUUAGCUCAGCUUUGCCUCCAGCUAGGUAAUUUUAAUAAUAAAACGAAUGUAGAUAAAGGAAAGCAUCUGUAAUAAUUCAAUAUUUGCCUUAGUCACACACCAUUUGCUGUAAAAAUUGUGUCCUAGUUCGAUUCAGUUGUAGUUCUUUAAAUUACUUGAGCCUAGGUCCUGUUGAGAAUAAUUUUAAUCUGAGAUCUGUUUGCUAGUUAAGUUUUAGAGGGGAUAGAAAGAUAAUAUUUCGUAGGUAUUUCACAAGUGUAUUUGAUGUCCUAGAACCUUUUCAUUAUAUUCCUUAUUCAGAACUUAAUUAGCAAACAGUCGCAAACAGACCGGAGAGGGAUAUUAGCUGCUCUUUCUCAUUUAACUCCAAAGGAAUAAGGGUGUUAUUUUUCCUAUUGUAAAUUGAAGCCAAGUGGAAUCAAGAGCAGUUGCACAACACAUGGGGAUAGUAACAAAAGAACAACACACGUGAGAUGUAUCUAGAGAGAGGACAAUAACAAAAAUCACAUAGGGACAAAGGGAUAGGAAGGCACCAGAAACCUUCAUUGGUGCAGAAAACUAAUGGGAUAGGUGCAUGAACCAUUACAUGCUGUCUCUUCUUGGCUGGUACAAGCCACCGACUCUACCCAUACUUUAUUCUAACCCCCAUAGAACUCAGACUGAUCCUUCUGGUUUACAUUUUAUUUUAUUAUUAUCACCAACUUUGUUAAGCCUAUUCCUUAGUUUUACCAACUUUAUUAUUGCUUUUCCCAAUUUGCCACCAUUUUACAAACUCCAUCAUUAUAUAUACGCCAUCACAAACCCCAUCACCCAAUAUUAGCAUCAUACAAAAAAUGAAGCCUGUCUUUGCCACACUGCUGUUUUGUUCCCUUGUGUUAAGCUUCUCUUUCUUGGAGUCAGCCAUAGCAUCUGAAGAUGCAUGUAAGAUCUUCUUCCACUCUUUGUGAUAUGUUUCAUAAAUACCUUUUCAUUUGGAGCUUAGUUCUUCGGUUGGUGUAGUGAUGUAUAUUUUUCCUUGUUAAUGGCAGCGUUUUGCAGCAAGAAAUGCUCGGCUAGGUGCUCUGUUGCAGGAGUUCAGGAUAGGUGCUUGAAGUACUGUGGAAUAUGCUGCGCAGAGUGCAAGUGUGUUCCUUCUGGGACUUAUGGGAACAAGCAUGAAUGCCCUUGCUACAGGGACAAAGUUAACAAAAAGGGCAAGCCCAAAUGCCCUUGAACUCAAAUGAAGACCAAGCUUGAAGCCCCCACUCAGAAUAGGAGAAGUGUGUUUUGUGAUAGUAAUUGAGAAAUUUUAGCAGCGUUAGUUCAACUUAUUGUUCCUAUUAGUGGUUCUUAAGUAAUGUUAGAUUAUUGUUAGUACUUAGUAUGCCCAUGUCUGUUGAAUGUAGUACUAGAUUUGAAGAGGAAUAAUUUAUGAUAUAAACUUGUUGCAGUGUUGUUUUUUUAUCUCAUUUUCGCUGACUUGCUUACAAAACAAACAAUAUUUUAUGAACAUGAUUCUCUUUUAUGCCUAGGAUUCUUCUGUAUAAUUCCUACUUCAUAAUCUAAAGCAAUGUGAUGUGUCGCAUGUCACUGUUUUAAAUCUGCCACAAUUUCCAACACUUUGGUAUCACUCUCAUAUCUAGUACUAGUAUGGACACACUGGGACAGGUACUUGUAUUGGUAUAGUCACAAGCUAUGAAAAAUUUCUAAAACUUAAGAUACAGGUGCAACAUGAUAUAUUAAAUGGAAAUGUAAAAAAUAUUUAUAUAAGUGAGGGAUGAAAAUGGGCCAUUGAUGGUAAGGAUUAAAGACUUAAAUAAUGAAGUGCAAGAGGUCCCAAGAUUAAGUCUCAUUAACAAAAAAAUAAUAAUUUGAGUUUCAUCUACAACAAAAAUAAUAACAUACUAACAAUAAAAAAAAAGUGAAUAAUGAAAUAAUUAGAUGCAUGCAAUUUUUAUAUAUUUAUAGGUAUUAUUUUUAUUUAGGAGUUAAGAGAAAAGUAAAUUAUAACUUAUUUUUAAGAGUUAUAUAUGGUUAGUAUAUAAUUCACAAUUUAUUUCUAUUAUUUAUUUUUUGAAUAUCUAAUAGUUAUUAAGCAUGAAUUUCUAGUGCUACAAUAACAUUUAUAAAAUUCAUACCCUAUUAAUGAGUAUAUACAUAUUUUUCCUAUAUUUUUAAUCUCCCUUCUCGAUUGCACUUCAAUAAUAGAAAACAGUUUGAUGAGGGGGGCUAAGACAUGCAGGCUUCAUCAACUUUCCUUUCCAAUAAUUAUGUUUGGUCGGAUGAGUUUUUCCUAUGGAACUCAUGUCCCCUUUUCCACUAUUCAAUAAAAUCUUGGCUACCAUGUGUAAUCUUCACCGUCAAACUUCUUUUAACGAAGUGUGUGGAUGAGAUUAAUUCAGUUCCCAUUACGCAUAGAUAAUUAAACGACAACGUAUGGAAUUUCUCCGCUCCAAACCUGUGAGAUUUGAAAUGCAGGCCAGGGAAGGGAAAAGAAAAGGUUGUGACUUGUGAGCACCGAAAGUAGAAAAUGGAUAAGUCGAAGAUCGAAGAGGUUAUUGAGAAGCAGGUCCUGACGGUGGCGCAGGCGGUGGAGGAAAAAAUUGAUGAUGAAAUCGCCGCACUCGAACGUCUUGACGCCGACGAUAUUGAAGCCCUAAGGGAGCGCAGAUUGCAGCAGAUGAAGAAGAUGGCAGAGAAGCGAAGCCGCUGGAUCUCCCUCGGACACGGCGAGUACACUGAGAUUCCUUCUGAGAAAGAGUUCUUCUCCGUGGUCAAGGCCAGCGAACGCGUUGUUUGUCAUUUCUACCGUGAAAACUGGCCCUGUAAGGUACACCGAUUUCAUGCUUUCCAAUGCAUGUUAAGUGGAACAAGAACUAGGUCUCUUUUACUCUCUGCAUAUCAGAUUAUGAGAAUUUGAUCAAUGAAUGUGUAAUUGUAUGCAAUUUAAAGCACUGCUAUUGGCACAAGUAUUAGUAUUAGGAUUUUUUCUCUCUCUGACGGAUGAAUUAUUAAAAUCCAAAUUUUAAUUGAUAGCUUCAGCCUGAAAAGUAAGGGUGUCGAUAUUAUACAUAACUUGCUGCCAGCGGCAAGAUAGAUAUUUUUAUUGCAGAAAACACCACCACCUUAGUGUUAGGAAAGUGGAAGCUGAGGUACAUGGAUAUACAAUUCCUUUUGAAGAAUUAUUUAUCUUUCACUUUAAACUCCAUGAGUGCAUUUUGAGUGUUUUCAAAAAAUAAAUUAACAUGUUCAUGUGUAUUGGAUUGCUCAUUGAAUCAAUUACACCAUAGAAAACCAUGUGAAACAGUCUCAUUAGUAUUAUCACCAUAGCGAAUUAAAUCAGUUACAGGCACCAUAAUUUGAGUACAAGUUCAGCAAAUAUUAAUGUACCAGAAUUUGAGUAUAAUACAGCAAGUGCUAAUUACGAUUAACGCUCGCAAUUGUGGUAUUUACUUAACUCCCGCAUUUUCUAGGAUAUAAAAUGUAGGAGAAAUAAUUCAUGUGCAUGUUUCAUGUGCAGGUAAUGGACAAGCAUUUAAGUAUACUAGCAAAGCAGCAUGUUGAGACUCGAUUUGUGAAAAUUAAUGCUGAAAAAAGUCCAUUCUUGGCUGAGAAGCUUAAGAUCAUUGUUCUCCCAACCAUUGCCCUCAUAAAGAAUGCCAAAGUGGAUGACUAUGUGGUAUGUAGAUCAAAGCACUUGAUGAUAACAGUGAUUAUUGCUAAUGAUUUUUGUUUAAAGAGAUUUCUCCCCUUGAUUCUUUCAAUUUUAGCAACAUCAAUUUGAUAAUGGCAUGUGUGCUAGGUGGGAUUUGAUCAACUUGGAGGGUCUGAUGAGUUUAGCACGGAGGAAUUGGAAGAAAGAUUGGCUAAAGCUCAAGUGGUCGUUUUUGAGGGUGAAUCUUCAUUGAAUCAUGCCAGGUCUAGUGCACAAACUAAAAGAAGUGUUCGACAGAGCUCAAAUGCUGACUCGUCAGAUUCAGAGUAACUCACAUUUUCUAAUAAGUUUUAUUUAUGCUGCUCUCGUGGAAGACUGUGGAUUAGGGACACAUUUUCAACGUAGUCUCAUUUAUCAUCAUCUUGGUGUGUUUUUGUCUAUAUGAAUUUAUCAUGAUUGUCGUUCUUGUUCUAGUAGAUUUAGUGAUUAUAUCACAUGGCUUAUACUGAAGUUGAGAUAUCUCAUCUUGGCUGAAACAUUGUUGAGAUGUUCUUCUGAUUGUAUUAAAAUGAUAAUUUUACAAGUUUAGACACAAUCCUGAUGUAUUUCUUCUAGGCUAUGUUAUGAUGCCAAUGGAAGGAAAGGGUGGAUUGCAAGGAAUGGUAAAGGUCAUAGGAGGUAGGCCAUGACAGCAAGAAAUUGGGGCAAUGGUUACAAAAGUUGAACCUAGGCAUCUCCCUUUCUUAGACUCUCCAUGCUCCUCCCUUAGGCUUUAUUUUUCUCUGUUUCCAUGUGUCUUUAUCAUUCCAACUUUCUCAAUUGUUACUCAUAAAUCUAUGCAAUCUUUGAGACCAGUAGUAAUGCGACGAGUAUCAUAGUACAUCUUCCAGUUAUAUACUUCUCCAAACAUUGCUCCUUCUGCUCCAGAUGAGUAUGUUGCUGUCAUCACAAUAACCUCAUGGGAAGGAGGGAUAGCUGCUUCCCUGAAUGAUGGAACCAGACCUAAGCACAUGAGGAAAGUUCAACCCAAAAGAUUAGUUUAUUGGGCGAGAGAGUCUUAUAGCUUAAGUACUUUGUUGAGUUUGCUAUGAAUGUAGAAUUCCCAACAUUGUCGCCCCCUUUUAAGGGCCGACAUCCACAUUGGCUUUUACUCUCUCGAUAUUGACUUGAUGGUAGCCCUUUAUCUUUUGGCGGCUUCCGUCAUCUAUCAGUACUCGGUAACAUACCUUAGUUCAGUCUAUAGGUAGCCCUUUCCAUUGCACAACUCUCAAUGAAAACACCAAUUUAGGGGUAAGUACAUGAGGAGAGCUCAACCUAAAAAUACUAGUCUAUUAGAUAGGAGAGCUUCAUGACUUAUUACAUUGAGUUUACUAUGCCAGGACUCCUAACAAACCAUCUGUAUACUUUUCUUUAAAAAAAGAACUAAUUAAAAUUAUACAUUAAAUGAGUGUAGUUGCAAAUAGACCAUAGGAAAUCUAGUAAGAAGAAUGGUUUGCUUUAUGUUAAAUAAAUUCUUAAAUCUUCUCUAUAAUGUUAUGAUAUUAUUUUUGUAAAGCCAAAAAAUACAUCACAGUAUAUUAGUCUCACCGUAUUAUGAUAGCAAAAACGUCGGUUAAAAGUUUUUGAAAACAUUUUAAAUUUUUUUGACAUCUGUUGCAAAAAUUGAUUCACUUCAGAAUAAAGAAAAAAUCAAUGCUGUGAGUACUUCACCGGUUUAUUCUAACAAUCAAUGAAUCAUCAAAGUUUCUAAUAAUACAAUAAUCCUGAAACUUAAUAAUACUGGCAUCUAUGCCUACUUACUUCAGCUGAAGUUGGUGAUUUUUCUAACAAUUACAACUAAAAUAACAAAUAAGUCAACAUGUAACACUGAAUCAUCGAAUGUUAAUUACAUAAAGAAAGCCACAUAACAUGUUUUAUGGUCCCUUAAAACUGUAUCCUGAGCCGUUUCUCAACAAAAGCCAACACCUUUUUCCCGUAAAAAUGGUUACACAGAUCUCUAUAUUUGGUCAAAAUGCUAUCUAACAUCCUUUUAUGCAGGUAGCCCUGCAAUAAACAGAGGGAAAAAAAGAGAUAAGCACAUGAUUAAAGAUAUAAACACACAUAAACAUAGUAGUAGUAUCAUACCUUGGAGUUUUCCAGUGCAGUCUGAGCAACAUAAUUUCCAUAAGGAUCUUGAAGGACACUAAAAAAUUCAGUGCUAUUCAUCAAUUCGAGAAUUAUAGUCAUAGAAUCCCUCUCCUCAGAAUAUUUUAAGAGAUUUUGCACCACAUUGCUAGCAUGCUUGUUCCUGGAUAGUUGAACAUAUUUACCCCCAAGCUCUGAUAUUAUCAUUCCAUUGACUUUAACUAUCUCCAUCUCAACUAAAUAUUGCACCACAUAGUUUCUGUGGUUAUAAUUAACAAAAAAUAUUAGUUUAUAAAGAAAGAAGGAACAUUCAAACUCAAUGAAAUACACUAUCUGGGCAAUUUUAAAGAAAUUUCAUGGUUAUCAUUCUUUUGUAAAAAAAUAUUUAGUUAUAAACCUAAGAUAUCUGAUACUUACAAAAGAAAAAAUAAACUUUUGUCUAUCUUACAUGUAAGGUACUAUUCUAUAUUUUUAACUUCUGAAAUGUUAUCAACGAAAAAGCAUGUGAGAAUAUCUUUGUCCUUUCAAAUAUGAGUUUCAAAAAUAAAUUGUCCAUAAACCAUAUAAAAUAAUGAUGCAUUGUUCAAGAGUUGAACACAAACCCAUAUGGAUCUUCAGCUAGGAGUGCUGCAUUAUAGAUGAUUGCCUGAACCAGUGGUACUAUAGCAUCUGGUAGAGCAUGUUCCAUACAUUUUUGAAUAACCGAACAUCCUUUUUUAUCUGUUGCAAUAUCUACACAUUUCAUUGCUAUUACAUACAAAAUCUCCUGAAAGAAAGUUUUAAUUUAAAUUAAAUAUUAAUAGAAGAAAUAAAGAGAAAAAAAUACUGUCCUCCAUUGAGACUUUGAGAGUGUCAAUAAUAACAUAGGAUAUUGAUAAUAAAAAAACAAGCAUAAGAAUAUAAGAAUGUAAAAGAUGAAUGUGAUGGACAUUACGCAUUGAUAUUCCACGGGGAAAACUUUUAGACAUUGUUCAAUUACAUAACCACCAUUCUCAUUUUUCAUCAAUGUAACAGUGAUUUGCUUUAUUGCAUUUAUAACUUCAUUAAUCUGCAUACGAGUUUUUACAUUCUCCAACAUUCUCUGUAUAACCCUUGUUCUGUAAGGGACAGAAAAAAACAAAAAAAGUGGAUAUAGUUAAGCAGUGUAUUACAUACAAUUCAACCAUGAUUUUUUUUGUUGAAGAACAGAAAUACUAAAGUUAAAGUAAUACCCAUUAUUAUCCAUGCACACAUCUCUCAGCAUAUGCACAUUUUGGAUAAUUGAUAAUACAAUUAAAUCCUUCUUCUCAUCACUCACACUUGUUGAUUCAAAAAUCUUUUGAAUCAAGUAAUUGCCAAACUGGUGUGUGAUUAGCUCGUACAAGUGAUCUUUAACUCCAAAGAGUAUCAUGUCAAUGAACUCCAUUGAUCCCUCAUCAAUCUUGAAUUGCAGGUAACGACAUUUACCUUGAUCCUUUGCCAUUGAAACUAGUUUUGCCCUCAAGCCUUUAAGUACAUUAGAUUCAUGACAUCGAAUAAUUUGCCCAUUAACCACAUUCCCAUUAUACUGCAUUUGAUGAUUCAAAUAUCUAUUAUUAGACAAUGAAUUUGAGCAACUUGGGACACUGGGAUUAUUCAAAGCCGCUUGCACCCUUGGCGCAGCCGCAGCAAGGUGAAUGGAAGCAGAAUUUUCGUAGAGAGGUUGGCUUAUGAAAUUGUUAGGCGUAAAAGCACUACUAUUUCUAAAAGGGUAACUCAAGCUGAGUCUUCCCAUAGUAGAUUCGAGAUCAUCAGGUCCAGGAAGACUAGUACUAGAACCCUGAUAGCCAUGAAGGUUUCUUGGUGGAACAAAAGAUUCAUGGGUUUCUUGUGCCACAAGUAUGGGGUUCCAAAAAUUAUGAUUUUGAACAAUAGCAAAGUCAUCAUUCAAAACAUGGCUUUGUGAUGUGCCAUGUUGAAUAGGAGAGUUGUGUAUUAAGAGAUUGUUGGCAUGAACAUUGUUAUGUGGGGGAAGUGGAAGAUUAUUGUGUUUCAUUGAGAAACAAAAAGAGUUUGAAGGAAACAGAGUAGAGUGAGAUUGAAGUACUUGGAUGGGUUUAUUAUGCAACAAGAUUUUAUAUAGAUACAAGUUCAAAAUAAGAUUGAAGUAAAGUUAAUUUAGAUACUAAUUUGAAAAGUUGUUAAUAUCCAACUAAUGAUUUUUUAAGAAAAUUUGUAGAGAGAUAAUGUUUUUUAUUAUCAUCAAAUUUAUAAGACGUGUUUUUUUAUGGAAAGAUUGACAUCUUUUCCAAUCUUAUCCUAGAAUCACUAGUAAAUAUACUACUUCAAAUUUGUGAGUACUAAUAGACUCAAUUAUCUUAUUUUUUGUGUGAACAAUAUUAUGAUUUUAUUUUUUAUGGAUUGUAUUUGCAAUAUGAUUCUAUGAAACAAAUAAAAAUAAAAAUGCAAAUUUGGAUUUUUGAUGAGAUUCUAAAAAUAUAUAUUUUUCUUUUAAAUCAAUAUUUGAUUUGUGAAAUUAUAAACUUAUGAUUUAAAAGUCUACCUAGUUAAGUUUCUUAUUUUUAUCUUAAAAUACUGUCCAAAUAGUACUAGUGAACCAUACAGCAUGAACAUUAUUUAAUUAGUUUUAGUUUUAAUAAGGAUAUGUAUGGAGACUACUGGUGACAAAAUUAUCCAUAGCAUCCAAAUUAAAUUCAUUCGUUGGAGCUAAUAGAUUUAAAUGGAUGUAAUUUAAUGGAUAAUGUUGAUAAUUGAUGGAUUCAAAUCAAUCCAUUAUAUCCAAUCGAUAUCCAUGGAAUUAUCCAUUUGGAUGGAUAUCCAAUCCAUCCAAGAAUAAAAAAAUUAUUUUCUUUGUUUUUCAAUUUCAUUUAUAUUUAAGAAAAUUAAAUUCGAGCAAAUUUAUCAAUGAUUCUCACUUCACUUUUAAUAUUUUAUUAAAUUCAUAUCAAUGGUAGGAAAUGUAUAUGUAAUUGAUAUAAGUGUUGUUCAAACCGUUUCGUAUCGACUUGUUGAACCUUUAAAUUAGUGAACCGAUUCUAAUACAGGUACGGUAUAAUAAUUAUAUCGGUCAUGCAAUCAUAUCGGUCAAAAUCGGUCAUAACGGUUGGUUUUCAAUUGAACCGUACCGGUAAUACCGACCGGAUUUUAUAUAAAUUAAUUUUUUAAUGAAAAUAAAAAAUAUUGAUUUUUUAUUGAUUUUUCAACAUUAGUAUUAAUAUAUUAUAUAUGUAUAUCUAAUUUUGUCGGUAUGUGGUUUAACUAAUGAACUACUAGUUGAAUCACUGGUUGAACCACUAUACCAGUACGACAGUACCCUGACUAGUUUAUGACCGACACGGUAUUAAUAACACUGAUUAAUAUUAAAAUUUUAUUUUUAAGUACAUAACAUAAAGAUGUAUGAUAAAAAUGUAUGCACUGACCAAUGAGUCUUAUAUACGAUCAUCGGAUCAUCUAUCAUUUAUAUCUAAAUUAUCAUUGACUAUUCAAAAAAUAAUAAUUCAAACGAAUAGUAAAUGAUAUAAUGAUUAUGUAUAAAUAUUUAUACUCACAUUGCAUAAUUAUUACACACUAAAAGUAUUUGUUAAAUAAUUUAUAUGUAGAACCUUAAACGACAUAUUAUCACAGAAUUUUGAAAAAAAAAUAUUUUCCAUAAAAGUUCAGAAAAACACUUUUUAAAAAAGUUGAUUUCUAAAUUAUUUUAGAAGUGUUUUUUAAAAGGUGAUUUUAAAAAAUGUUUAGUUGAAAUAGUAGUUUCUAAAAUAAUGAUUUUCUUCAAUAGAUUUUUCUAGUUACAAUAAAAAAAUCAAAUAGAUUGAAUAUUCAUUUAUCCAAAUCCAUAAAAAGGGAGUCAUAGAUGAAUUGGAUGAUUGAAAUCUAUUGGAUAUUGAUGAAUUGAAUAACAUAAAAUAUAGUUUAAAUGGAUUUAUAUAGAUUAAUGGAUAGCUUUCCAUCCAUCCAUUAACAUCCAAAUUCAUCCAUUUGUCACCUUUAAUGGAAACAAAUUGUUAAGGGGUUAUUUAUCCCUUAUUUUGGCUAAUAUUUACCUCUUUUUUUCAAACCACUGUUAAAAUUCAAAAUUUGAACUUAAGUUUUGAAUUACUGUUUGUUGUAUUUGUUUUUGAAAAUCGGGUUUAUAUAUAUAUAUAUGAAACAAAUGAAGAGCAUAUAUCUAUUGCGAUAAAUAGGAUAUUUUAAUACUAAAUAUUAUAUUAAAAUGAACAUAUAAAAAUAAAAAGUUACAAUCCAAUUUUGGAUUUUUAAUAUGUUUGUAGAAAUAUCUAUUUUUAUUUUUAAAUCAAUAUCUGAAUUUUGAAUUUGCUAACUAAUGAUUUAAACAUCUACCGAGUUAAGUUUCUUAUCUAUUAAUUAUAUAAUAAAAAAAAGUUCUCACACAUUAUUCAUCGUCACAUAUCAAUUUCUUAUUUAUUUUUUUCUCUAAAUGGUUUCACCUCCUUCAUGUGUACAUUUUCAUACUAUAUAUUUCAUUUCCUUAUUAUAAUAAUAUUAAAUUCAUUAUUGCAUUUCUUAAUAAUAAUUUCAAAACAAAAUACAGGUAUUGAGUCUUUAUAUAUGUUGAUUACAGUAUAUAUUUUCUUUACUUAUUAUAAUAAUAUUAAAUCUAUUAUUGCAUUUUGUAAUAAUUUCAAAGCAAAAAAUACUGCAAUAAACCUUUAUCUGUGAUGACUAACGUCAUACUAAAUAUAUUUACUUCUAUCUAUUUACUAUGUAAUAAAACAAGCUACUUAUGAUGUCAUGGUGUGACAAAUGUUUGAUAUUGAUGCAAUUUUCUCCCUCUCAAACAGCUACACACACUUACAAUGGAUCGAUUCACACUCUAUCCACUUUUCAUAAUAAAUAAUUCGUUUAAAUUCAUUCCACAUCAUCACGUGCCACAUAUGGCUUCCUUCUUAAUUUGUUUAUCUCCUAAAAGGGUUCCAUGAUACUACUAUGUACCUACCAACACUAUAUAAUCACUUUUGUACAAUGUAUAUUUCAUAAUUAAUAAUAAAAAGUAUAUAGAAUAUCUAAUUUGUUAUGGUGAUGACAAUGAUGAAAAAUAAUUAUUGCAACACUUAAACCUUUUAAAGUUUUAAUCAACAUACUUAUGAGAGAGGUAAUGAAUAAUAUUUCAUAUUCUUAUUAAUGAUAAAUAGCUAAAAUAUCGAUGAAAAGUUGUAUCGUAUAUUAAUAGCCUAUUAUUUUCCUUUUAACGUUUUAAUUAUAUGAGAGGUGAUGAAUAUUAUUCAAAAUUCUUACUACCGAUAAAUAACUAACAAUAUAUCAUUAUCCAACUAACUAUUCAGCCAAUUAAUAUUUUUAUUAUUAAAUAUUAUCAUCUCACUUUUGGUAAUAAAAUCUUUUCACCUUCCAUUAUGUAAUUAUUUAAUUUAAAUUGAAAAAACUAUAUAUUUUUACAUCAUCAAAGCUUUAUGAUACGUUUCCCACCAGAGACGGGAACGUGUUUGGAUAGGUCCAAGUAGUGCAUUACAUGUACAUGCCUCAUUACUUCAUUUUUCGAUCCAGACUCACCUCAAACCAAUGUUGGUACCUGUUGAGAAUACUACUUGCGGGUCCUUUAGUACUCAAUGAAUCUGUGAGUACCCAUAAAUUAAAAAUAUUAAAAGUAAUUGUAGUUUUUUUUACAUAAUUGUAUGUUUGUUUCCUGAAAUUUUAUAUGUUAUUUAGACAAUUAACAAGAGAAAAAAUUAUAAAAUAUAAUUUAAAGUCUUAAAGCGAAUUUAAAUUGAUUAUUAAACAUAACUCAUUUUAUCAAACAAACAUAAAAACAAAGUCAUUACUUCAACAUUAUGAUGUAAAAUUGAUUUAGUAAGAUCUGUUUAAUAAAUAUAACAUUAGAUUAUGCAUAUGAAUUAACAACAUACCAUCAUAUCACAUUUCUUAACAAUAUAUCAUCAUUGUUAUAAUCAUAUUAUUUAUGAAUUAAUAUGAUAUUACAAUUAUGGAUUAAUAUGCAUAAUCUAAUAGUGGGUCUCAAAAUCUCGGGUCUCAAUUACCGGCUAGUCCAAAAAUACGGAUUCAGACUAGACCCGUUGCGGUUAUUCGCAGGUCUAGGUACCCAUUGUCAUCCCUAUUUCCCACUGAUUUUUAAUAUCAUUGUUUAGAUCCUUUCGAUUUUAAUUUCCCCCUAUUAUAAUUGAAAAAAUCAAAUCCGUAAUUGAAGUUUUUUGUUUUAAAAAAUCAAAUUCGAAAUUGGAUAAAAAUAUUUCAUUUCCUACAUGUUUUAAAAUAUUUAUUUUCAAUAAAAUCACAUAGUAUUAUGUUUAAGUCUCCUAUUUUCGUAGAAAAUUUAAAUUUGAAGUUGUCAUUUAUUUUUCUUAUAUGUUUGAGCAGACAAAUACACCAGUAACACAUAAGAUUUUAACAAUAUAAAUAUACAGAUAACAUGUGUUUUAACUAUACAAAUACACGAAUAACAUACAUGUUCUUAGUAAUGUGAAUGUACAUUUAAUGUGUGUUUUUAAUCAUGUGAGUACAUGGAUUACAUAUGUGUUCUUAACAAUAUGAAUACAAGAUAACAUGUGUAUUUUAACCAUUUGAAUACAUGAGUAAUAUAUGUGUUCUUAACCGUAUGAGUGCACAUGUUAUAUGUGUUUUAAUAAUACAACAAAUACAUGAUUUAAAUAAAUUUAGUUUCCAUUAAGGAUAUUCAUGGAGAAAAAUGGUAGAGGAUUGUUUAUCUCUUAUUUUGGAAUAAGUUUUACUAUUUUUUAGGGUGAAUAUGAAACUAGUCAUAUUAUCUUGUUCUAGUAGUGUAAGGUCUCACUUAAUCCCUUAAUGAUCAAAAGGUCAAUAAUUGAUUUUUGUGAACGACAACCACAGAUCCAAAAAAGGUUAGUUACUUACUUUAGAGGAUGAAAAAGUACUCUUAAUAAUACAAACAAAUUCUCAAAUAACAAUGUUAAACCAUAAUUACUACUAUAUUAUAUUUGUUUUUGAUGUUAUAUAUUAAUCAACAACAUCACUUUGUCAUGUGCCAAGUUGAGCAGGAGGGUUUUGAAUUGAGCAAUUGUUUGCAUGAACGUGCUUAUAUGGGGAAAAUAGAAGAUUACCGUGUUGCAUUGUGAAAUAAAAAAGGUUCGAAGGAAACCGAGUAUAGUGACAUUGAAAUAUCUUGAGGGGGUUUAUAAUGCCACAAGUAUUUUAUACAUAUACGAGUUUGAAAUAAGAUUGAAUUGAAAUUAAUUCACAUAAUAAUUUGAAAAGUUGUUAAUAUCCAACUGAUGACUUUUUAGAAAAAUUUGCAAAGAGAUUAAUCUUUUUUAUUAUCAUCAAAUUUAAAGUAAGAUUAAUCUUUUCCAAUCUUAUUCUAGGGGUCACUGAUAUAUAUAUAUAUAUAUAUAUAUUCAAAUUAGAUGAGUACUAAUAGACUCAAUUAUCUUAAUUAUUAUUUUUGUGAACAAUGUACAAUUACAUUUUUUUAUGAAUUAUAAUCAUAAUAUGAUUCUAUGAAAUAUAUAAAAAUUAGAAUGCAAAUUUGAAUUUUCAAUGUGAUUUUGAAAAUAUCUACUUUUUUAUUUUAAAUCAAUAUUUGAUUUAUGAAUUUAAUAAGAAUAUGUACUGAGACAAAUUGUUAAAGGAUUAUUUAUCUUUUAUUUUGGGGUAAGUUUACAUAUUUUUUGGGUAGAUAUGAAAUUAGUUAUAUCAUCUCAAAUUUGAAUAAAAAGUCAUACCACUGCCAAAAUUCAAAAUUUGAGCUUAAGUUUUGAAUUAUUGUUUGUUAUAUUUCUUUUAGAAAAUCAGGUUUACAUAUACUAGCGUGUUGACAGUCAGUGUUAUGCUUGUCAACACGCUUUUUUAUUGUUUGUAAGGUGUAGUUUGUACAUUAUAUAUGAUAAAUAUAAUAUUUUGUGUUAAAUAUUUGUAAUUUGCAGUUUAAUUUAUUUGAUUGGUAUAAUAUUCGAAUUUUUUAAAUACAAUUUCAAAAUAAGAAGAUAAUGACGGUAAAAUAAAAAGAUAACGUUAUAUGAUUUUUUUUCUAGAAAUAAGAAGAUAAUGAGGGUAUAAUAGAAAAUCACAAACUAUAUCAUGGUGGGAUGAUUAUUUUGUGUUUUCCAUUUAUUUCAUAUUGUGAUAAAAACAUGAAAUAAAUAUAUAUAUAGAGCAUUUAUCUAUUGUGAUAAAUAGGAAAUUUUAAUAGCAAACAUAUAUUAAAAUGAACAUAUAAAAAUAAAAAUUACAAUGCAAUUUUGGAUUUUUAAUAUGACUCUAGAAAUAUCUAUUUUUUUCUUUUAAAUCAAUAUCUGAAUUUGUGAAUUUACUAACUUAUGAUUUUAAUGGUCUGCCCAGUUGUUUCUUAUUUAAAUAUUAAUCAGAAAUUUUAAUAGUAAAUUAAUAGGUAAAAUUAAAUAUAAACUUAAAAAAACCUAACACCUAAAUAUAAUAUCUCCAUAAUCCCAUGCUCCUAUUCUUUAUGUGCUUCAUAGUAAUAUACACAAUUUGGUUAAUAGAAACUAAGAUUAUCGACUACAUCAUAUCUAUAAAUUGAUAAAUAUGAUAAUCGAUUAUAUGACUAAACUUUGCUAGGAUUUACAUAAGAACCUAUAAGAACAAUGUUCAUCUCACAUAUAAAUAUUUUUCAUUUGCUUUAGUGUCAGAUGUUCUUAUUUCCGAUGUACCAAAAGAAAACUCAUGCUCUUAUCUCUCUCCUUGAGACAUAUAAGUUGUUGUUGUUUUGUUUAAGUUGGGUUUAAAUGUUUUUUAAUAAACUAUUAACAAGAUAAUGAUAUUAGUUUAUAAAGAUUUGCUUAGGAAAAAUGAUGGACUGCAUCAUGUAUAUAAAUAUAAUGAUAAAUUACAUGACUAAAUUUAGUUUGGAUCUCCAUGAAGGCUUGAGAAUCCAAGACUCUCCUCCCAUUAGAGUGAUGUCCAUCUUGUAGAUGAACCUUUCUCUUUGCUUUAGUUUUUAUUUCUUAUGAACAAAAAAAAUCCCAUGCUCCUCUCUCUCUAGUGGAAUCAUAUUUGGUAAAGUAAACAUAUUUAUUUAGAUAACAAUAUUAGUUUAUAAAAAGAUUAAGAAAUAAAGUUUUAUAAAUUAAAAGUAUUGAGUUGAUUUUUUCUAUUCAAUUUAUAAUCUCAAGUUAAAGUCAUAAAUAAAUAUAAUCACAAAUAAAUACAACCACACUAUAAAAUAUAAUAUUUAUGCAGUGUUAACCACUGUAAAUAUUUAUAUACAUUAAAUAUAUCUCCAUAAUUCAUUUGUAUUAUUUUUUAUAAAAAAAUCAAUGAUGGUCAAAUAUGAAUGAUUGUAAAUGAUACAUUAACAGUCCAUAAAACUCAUAUAUUGUCAAUGCAUAUAUUUCCUCUGUAUAAAAACAAGGAAUGAAUUCAGUUACUCCAUAAUUAAGUUAAGAAAACCUACUUUAUAUACUAGUCAUUUAUUCUAUGAAAAUCUAAUGGUUCAAAUCUACUCACUGAUUCGAAUGACUUGAACCAUUAGAAUUUUUUAGAAUGGAUUAUUAAAAUAUGGAAUAAUUUUUUUUAACUUAUUUCUAGAAUAAAUGUAUGUCUUCCAAAAACAAAAUUGAACGGACCAAGUAAUAUAAGCCCAUGAAAGUGCAUAUCGUUCUUCACUUGAAAUGUGACCCUAGUCAUCAAACGGCUUAUAUUGACUGAAUGAAUGAAUGCAAGCCCUAUGGUUUGAAUUGAUUUAAUAGCAAGUAAUGGUGGCCCAUAUUUGAAGGAGGUGUAAACAAAGCACCGUUUUUCUCUCUCACACAAGAAACAAAGGAACUCUCACGAACCAAACCAAACCAAACCUACUCCUCCU
rnacentral:lncRNA from 1 species